rnacentral:rRNA from 1 species
AUUGAACGCUGGCGGCAGGCCUAACACAUGCAAGUCGAGCGAGCGGCGGACGGGUGAGUAAUGUCUGGGAAACUGCCUGAUGGAGGGGGAUAACUACUGGAAACGGUAGCUAAUACCGCAUCCCAUCAGAUGUGCCCCGAUGGGAUUAGCUAGUAGGUGGGGUAACGGCUCACCGAGGCGACGAUCCCGAGCUGGUCUUAGUGGAUGACCAGCCACACGGGAACUGAGACACGGUCCAGACGCCUACGGUAGGCAGCAGUGGGGAAUAUUGCACAAUGGGCGCAAGCCUGAGGCAGCCAUGCCGCGUGUGUGAAGAAGGCCUUCGGGUUGUAAAGCACUUUCAGCGGGGAGGCGUUACCCGCAGAAGAAGCACCGGCUAACUCCGUGCCAGCAGCCGCGGUAAUUC